rnacentral:rRNA from 1 species
GCACAAGCGGUGGAGCAUGUGGUUUAAUUCGACGCAACGCGAAGAACCUUACCAGGGCUUGACAUCCCCUGACCGCGUAUGAAAGUACGUUUUCACCCUCGGGUGACAGGGAGACAGGUGGUGCAUGGUUGUCGUCAGCUCGUGUCGUGAGAUGUUGGGUUAAGUCCCGCAACGAGCGCAACCCCUACGUUUAGUUGCUAACGCGUGAAGGCGAGCACUCUAGACGAACUGCCGUUGACAAAACGGAGGAAGGUGGGAUGACGUCAAAUCAUCAUGCCCCCUAUGUUCUGGGCUACACACGUGCUACAAUGGCCGGUACAGACGGACGCAAAGCCGCGAGGUGGAGCAAAUCCUAAAAAGCCGGUCUCAGUUCGGAUUGCAGGCUGCAAUUCGCCUGCAUGAAGUCGGAAUCGCUAGUAAUCGCAGGUCAGCAUACUGCGGUGAAUACGUUCCCGGGCCUU